rnacentral:rRNA from 1 species
GAUGUACGCUGGCGGCGUGCCUAAUACAUGCAAGUCGAGCGAGCAGACGAGGAGCUUGCUCCUCUGACGUUAGCGGCGGACGGGUGAGUAACACGUGGAUAACCUACCUAUAAGACUGGGAUAACUUCGGGAAACCGGAGCUAAUACCGGAUAAUAUAUUGAACCGCAUGGUUCAAUAGUGAAAGACGGUUUUGCUGUCACUUAUAGAUGGAUCCGCGCCGCAUUAGCUAGUUGGUAAGGUAACGGCUUACCAAGGCAACGAUGCGUAGCCGACCUGAGAGGGUGAUCGGCCACACUGGAACUGAGACACGGUCCAGACUCCUACGGGAGGCAGCAGUAGGGAAUCUUCCGCAAUGGGCGAAAGCCUGACGGAGCAACGCCGCGUGAGUGAUGAAGGUCUUCGGAUCGUAAAACUCUGUUAUUAGGGAAGAACAAAUGUGUAAGUAACUAUGCACGUCUUGACGGUACCUAAUCAGAAAGCCACGGCUAACUACGUG